GUAGUACUCCUCCGUCCCAAAAUUCGUGUCUUACAUUUGUUCCGGUGCCAAAUUAACUAGAUACAUCCAUAUUUAGACAAAUUUAAGACAAGAAUUUUGGGACGGAGGGAGUACAAA
rfam:Triticum aestivum genome assembly, contig: Triticum_aestivum_CS42_TGACv1_scaffold_224078_3B